rnacentral:rRNA from 1 species
UCACGGAGAGUUUGAUCCUGGCUCAGGACGAACGCUGGCGGCGUGCUUAACACAUGCAAGUCGAACGAUGAAGCCCUUCGGGGUGGAUUAGUGGCGAACGGGUGAGUAACACGUGGGCAAUCUGCCCUUCACUCUGGGACAAGCCCUGGAAACGGGGUCUAAUACCGGAUAACACUCUGUCCCGCAUGGGACGGGGUUAAAAGCUCCGGCGGUGAAGGAUGAGCCCGCGGCCUAUCAGCUUGUUGGUGGGGUGAUGGCCUACCAAGGCGACGACGGGUAGCCGGCCUGAGAGGGCGACCGGCCACACUGGGACUGAGACACGGCCCAGACUCCUACGGGGAGGCAGCAGUGGGGAAUAUUGCACAAUGGGCGAAAGCCUGAUGCAGCGACGCCGCGUGAGGGAUGACGGCCUUCGGGUUGUAAACCUCUUUCAGCAGGGAAGAAGCGAAAGUGACGGUACCUGCAGAAGAAGCGCCGGCUAACUACGUGCCAGCAGCCGCGGUAAUACGUAGGGC